GCUAAGAACCAGAAAACAAACAUCUACAUUCAGAAUGAGUACAGAUCUGAAGAGAGUCCUCUCCUCAAAAGAUAAAAAGGUAACAAGAAAGUGGACAGGAAUAUGAUCCACAUGGUAUUAGCCAAGGGAAUGGCAAAUUACAUAAAGAAGACAGCAUUACACACCACUUACAAGUGCCCACCUCCUCGGGAAAGGUCAGUUCGGAUUACUGGAGCAUGAGAGGUAGCAGGAACUCUACUUUCUCAAGGCUGGGACACCUGUAAAGGGUCCUCAAGUCAAACACAGGCAGCCUUUUCAAAGCCAAACAAGUCUCACCCCUGCAGACCCAGCCAUCAGGCCAACAAGCAUUCACACGAUUGUAUUCCCAAUCGGUGUCCAAAGGAAAACAGGAGGGCUGUUUUGCAUGGAGGCUCUACUCCCACUCUAACCCUUAAAGAAGUUGAGGAGGUCCUCAGCGCAUGUGCGUCAGUCAGGGGAACGGGAUGAGAGUACAUGCACUGAAGGGAAGCAGACAAUCACACCCACAAGAUGAAACUACAACACAGUCCACCCUCUAAAGCGACUGGAAAAAAAAGUCACAUUUGAAGGCUGACACCUUGAAAUUUCAAAUGUGCAUCCCACACCCACAAGAAUAAAACACCAUGAUAUUAGCAUGAAGAUGUACCUUUUGAAGAUGAUUGGAAUUGAAAGGAUGUUCCAGGAAUAUACUCAUGGGUCUAAAAAGAGGCAUCAAGACAUUCGAGGAAGCAACAGACAUGCGGUCCAUUCCUUUAACAGCAAACUGGGAAGGCCCGCUCGUGGAAGCGCCAUCACUCUAGGACGAGACCCAGGAAGCGAGACAUCACAACCCCCCCUCCAAAAAAAGACGAGACCCAGGAAGCGAGACAUCACAGCCCCCUNNAAAAAAAGACGAGACCCAGGAAGCGAGACAUCACAGCCCCCUCCAAAAAACACCCCAAACACACCUCCUUCCGCACCGCACACAAAGUUAACGCCAAGUCCGAAUUUUCUCCCCUAG
rnacentral:lncRNA from 1 species